GACGAACGCUGGCGGCGUGCCUAAUACAUGCAAGUCGAACGCAGGGGGGACGAGUGAGUAACACGUGGGUAACCUCCCAUCAGAGGGGAUAACACUUGGAAACAGGUGCUUAACCGAUACUGAUGUAUGGACCCGCGGUGUAGUAGCUAGUUGGUGAGGUAACGGCUCACCAAGGCCACGAUGCGGAGCGGAGCUGGGAGGACGAUCGGCCCGACUGGGACUGCAAACCGGCGAAGACUCCUACGGGAGGCAGCAGGAGGGAAUCUUCAGCAAUGGAAGAAAGUAUGAACGAGCGACGCGGCGUGAGUGAAGAAGGUUGUCGGAUCGUAAAACUCUGUUGUUAGAGAAGCGGUAUCUAACCAGAAAGCCACGGCUAACUACGUGCCAGCAGCCGCGGCGG
rnacentral:rRNA from 1 species